ACCAACAACCCUGGAGAGGAGUUGCUGAGACUGAUAUCCUGAGGAGACAGAGGACCUUUGGACUACUGAGCCCCCUGCCCAGACUAUGCCCUGGCCUGCAUCCUUGGGAAAUAUCAGCUCUGGGAGAUGUCAGCUUGUCACCACCAGUGGCUAUUCAGCUGGAAGUCUAUAGCAGCUUGUCUUACAGGCUGUGGAACCAUGUGACUUGCUCAUGAAAACAGAAAAGAGACGUGAGGAGCAGGCGUUUGGAUGCUACAGUGAUGAAGAUGAGG